rnacentral:rRNA from 1 species
AGAGUUUGAUCAUGGCUCAGGAUGAACGCUAGCGGCAGGCUUAACACAUGCAAGUCGAGGGGUAUAGGUUUUCGGACCUAGAGACCGGCGCACGGGUGCGUAACGCGUAUGCAAUCUACCUUUUACAGAGGGAUAGCCCAGAGAAAUUUGGAUUAAUACCUCAUAGUAUUAUUGAAUGGCAUCAUUUAAUAAUUAAAGUCACAACGGUAAAAGAUGAGCAUGCGUCCCAUUAGCUAGUUGGUAAGGUAACGGCUUACCAAGGCAACGAUGGGUAGGGGUCCUGAGAGGGAGAUCCCCCACACUGGUACUGAGACACGGACCAGACUCCUACGGGAGGCAGCAGUGAGGAAUAUUGGUCAAUGGGCGCAAGCCUGAACCAGCCAUGCCGCGUGCAGGAUGACGGUCCUAUGGAUUGUAAACUGCUUUUGUACAGGAAGAAACAGUUCUACGUGUAGAACCUUGACGGUACUGUAAGAAUAAGGAUCGGCUAACUCCGUGCCAGCAGCCGCGGUAAUACGGAGGAUCCAAGCGUUAUCCGGAAUCAUUGGGUUUAAAGGGUCCGUAGGCGGUUUUGUAAGUCAGUGGUGAAAGCCCAUCGCUCAACGGUGGAACGGCCAUUGAUACUGCAAGACUUGAAUCAUUGGGAAGUAACUAGAAUAUGUAGUGUAGCGGUGAAAUGCUUAGAGAUUACAUGGAAUACCAAUUGCGAAGGCAGGUUACUACCAAUAUAUUGACGCUGAUGGACGAAAGCGUGGGGAGCGAACAGGAUUAGAUACCCUAGUAGUCC